UACGUAGGGGGCUAGCGUUGCUCGGAAUCACUGGGCGUAAAGCGCACGUAGGCGGAUUGCUAAGUCAGGGGUGAAAUCCUGGAGCUCAACUCCAGAACUGCCUUUGAUACUGGCGACCUUGAGUCCGGGAGAGGUGAGUGGAACUGCGAGUGUAGAGGUGAAAUUCGUAGAUAUUCGCAAGAACACCAGUGGCGAAGGCGGCUCACUGGCCCGGUACUGACGCUGAGGUGCGAAAGCGUGGGGAGCAAACAGG
rnacentral:rRNA from 1 species